CAAUUGUCAAUUGUAUAUAUUUUGAAAGAGUCAACAGUCUAUGACAGUUAUCGCCGAAGCAGCAGCUUGAUUUGAAUUUAACUGGUCGUCGCUAAUUUGAUAAGAAAGAUGAACUUCUUUUCGGGCUUAUCUUACCUCUUGUUGGUCUUGCUGGUCCUGCUGGUGACUGGGGCCAUUGAUGGAACAUCGGCUUGCUCCUGGACCCCAGGUACCUUCUGUUUGGGCAACUAUGCUUGUUGCUGGGCCAGUGGCUUAAGGUGCGAUUUCUUCGCAUGUCGAUCAGCAUAAUGAUCGAAGAAUGUACAUCAUCUGUUAAAUAAAGGAGGAAAAUAUAUGAUGUGAAAUGAUGAA